CAUACUAACCCUGAGGCGUGAUGACGAUGCACUACGGUGCAGAAGUAGUUGAUGCCCUGCUUCCAGGAAAAGCCUCUAAGCAUCAGGUAACAUUAAAUCGUACCCCAAACCGACACAGGUGGUCAGGUAGAGAAUACCAAGGCGCUUGAGAGAACUCGGGUGAAGGAACUAGGCAAAAUGGUGCCGUAACUUCGGGAGAAGGCACGCUGGCAUGUAGGUGAAGUCCCUUGCGGAUGGAGCUGAAGCCAGUCGAAGAUACCAGCUGGCUGCAACUGUUUAAUAAAAACACAGCACUGUGCAAACACGAAAGUGGACGUAUACGGUGUGACGCCUGCCCGGUGCUGGAAGGUUAAUUGAUGGGGUCAGCCGCAAGGCGAAGCUCUUGAUCGAAGCCCCAGUAAACGGCGGCCGUAACUAUAACGGUCCUAAGGUAGCGAAAUUCCUUGUCGGGUAAGUUCCGACCUGCACGAAUGGCGUAAUGAUGGCCAGGCUGUCUCCACCCGAGACUCAGUGAAAUUGAACUCGCUGUGAAGAUGCAGUGUACCCGCGGCAAGACGGAAAGACCCCGUGAACCUUUACUAUAGCUUGACACUGAACAUUGAGCCUUGAUGUGUAGGAUAGGUGGGAGGCUUUGAAGCGUGGACGCCAGUCUGCGUGGAGCCAUCCUUGAAAUACCACCCUUUAAUGUUUGAUGUUCUAACUCGGCCCCGUGAUCCGGGGUGAGGACAGUGUCUGGUGGGUAGUUUGACUGGGGCGGUCUCCUCCCAAAGAGUAACGGAGGAGCACGAAGGUUAGCUAAUCACGGUCGGACAUCGUGAGGUUAGUGCAAAGGCAUAAGCUAGCUUGACUGCGAGAGUGACGGCUCGAGCAGGUACGAAAGUAGGUCUUAGUGAUCCGGUGGUUCUGAAUGGAAGGGCCAUCGCUCAACGGAUAAAAGGUACUCCGGGGAUAACAGGCUGAUACCGCCCAAGAGUUCAUAUCGACGGCGGUGUUUGGCACCUCGAUGUCGGCUCAUCACAUCCUGGGGCUGAAGUAGGUCCCAAGGGUAUGGCUGUUCGCCAUUUAAAGUGGUACGCGAGCUGGGUUUAGAACGUCGUGAGACAGUUCGGUCCCUAUCUGCCGUGGGCGUUGGAAGAUUGAGAGGGGUUGCUCCUAGUACGAGAGGACCGGAGUGAACGCACCACUGGUGUUCGGGUUGUCAUGCCAAUGGCAUUGCCCGGUAGCUAAGUGCGGAAAAGAUAAGCGCUGAAAGCAUCUAAGCGCGAAACUUGCCUCAAGAUGAGUCUUCCCUGGGCCUUUAAGGCCCCUGAAGGAACGUUUAAGACUAAGACGUUGAUAGGCUGGGUGUGUAAGUGCAGCGAUGCAUUGAGCUAACCAGUACUAAUGAUCCGUGAGGCUUAACCUU
rnacentral:rRNA from 1 species